GUGGCUUUUGCCCUCGCGCGCUCUUUAUUGUUGCGCAUCCCGUGCGGUCCCGUCCACGUCCACGUUUACGUCCGCCAACGUCGAAAGUUACCGCGCAUCGAACCGGCUGAAUUUCAGCCACGCGGAUCGCCGCUUUACGCUAAUCAGACGAUCCCCUUUCUCCCCCUCCUGGUGACCGCGAGAUUCGAGUGUCUCCCCGAGACGUUACUUGGACCGCAGCGUUAUCCCAACGUUCCCACUUCGGGAUCUUGACCUUACCGCAACCAUCCUUCUCAGUUUAUUUCAAGAACGGUCGUUGUGUCGAUGAUCGCGGUGAAUUCCGCGACGAUCAAAAGCGAAUUCCGUUGGUGAUAAGCGUCGUUGUUAUCAUGAGAAGUGAUAUGUUUCUCCACUUUGUUCGUAUGGAUUACCACAUAUUUUUCUCAAAGGAUACUUUUAUUAGACCUGGCAGCUAAGUGACAGGGUUUAAAAAAUUGAAUCCAUUUUUAAUGCUUUAUCUAACGUGGUGGAGGGUUAUUGCUGUGAUGGUCCAUUGACUUAAGAUCUUUGCAUGUUAAAAUGUUUGGACUAGAAAACACGUGUCUCGAGUCGGAGACUUAUUUUACAUUAAUUUAUUUUUGUUUCUAUUAAAUGUUGUUUAUUUUCUUUUUCAUGUAAACAGAUCGUAACUUUUUAUUCAACUUUGCCUAAUUUAAAAAUCCUUUGGGCCCUUUUUCUGAUUUUUUCACAUGCACCAUCAGUUAGUGGUGUUCUCACUCAGUCGAGAUAAGUGUUUUUCGA
rnacentral:lncRNA from 1 species